rnacentral:misc_RNA from 1 species
GCAAUAUUAAAAUCAUUUUGUUGUCACCAUGUAAGUGUGAAAAGCCAUAAAUAUUUAGUUUUGUUUUUACAAGAUAACCGGUAAAAGGCUUGCCUAAUCCCUGGGGUUGCAGUUGAAGUAAAAAACAAAAAUUUGUCAGAAGGAAGUACUUUCUUUGCUCCAAGUCAACUUCAAGGUAAAUGACCAGUAAUAGGGGGAAAAACAACCAUAUGAAGUCCUCGCAACUCAUUUUUCAGAAUGGAUUCUCCUCGUUGGCUAUGCAAACCAAAUUUAAAAGCUCAAACACUCAUGAAAUCUGCAGUAAUCAUCUCCUGUUGAUGUUUUGAAGUUCCACUCAACUCAUUAAGUAGUGAUUUAUAAGAUGCAUAGUCUGCCACAAGACCCUUUUCACUCUGUAUUUUAUGAAAGUCUUGUAGGUUUCCAUGUUUGCAAUGACCUUCUAAUAAGAUGUUAUAAGUUAUGUCGUCUGGAACUACUCCCAAAUUGAGCAUAGCAUCUAGAAGCACAGCCGCAUUUUUCAUUUGACCUUGCUUGCAAUAUCCAUUCAUAAGCACAUUAUAAGUUACAACUCCUGGUACAUGGCCAUCACUCUGCAUCUCUUUAAGCAACUUAAACCCUGUCUUCACAUCACCCUUCUUACAGAAUCCAUCCAUGAUCAUAGUAUAAAUUGCAUCAUCUGGUCUUAAACCUGCUUUUAGCAUUUCCCUCAAUGUUCUUUCUGCAUCAAUUACCUUUCCUUCUUUACAUAAUCCUGAAAUAAGAGCUGUAAAGGCCACAUUGUCAAGCGCAAUUCCUUCUACAAACAUUUCCUUCCUAAUCUCUAAAGCUGAUACUAAAUCUCCCUCCUUACAAUAACCAUCUAUAAGCGUGGUGUAUGUGAUCUUGUCAGGCUUCAUACCUCUCUUAUUAACUUCUUCAACUAGCUUUUUUGUUUCCCUGAAAUCCCCAACCUUGCAAAGGCCAUUGAUGAGCGUAUUGUAUAAAACUAAAUCAGGUUUCAGCCCUUUUUUCAACAUUAGCUGAUAUAAUUCCAUUGCCAAGUCAAUCCUACCACUCUUGCAUUGCCCAUUAAUUAAUAUGGUAAAAGUAACAUCGUUAGGCGCCAACCCUCUUUUACACAUUUCAUCAAACAGCCGACAGGCAUCAUCCAAUCUACGAUGGUUACACAGCCCAUUAAUCAAAACACUAUAAGUAAAAACAUCAGGAAGAA